rnacentral:lncRNA from 10 species
UUACCACUCCUGUGUGUUGAGGCAGCCUCGGUAUUUGCACAGCUGGGAGAGACCUACUGGGACGUUUGAUGCAAAGCCAGAAGAUGAGAUUAAGGAACAGACACAUACUGAGAAAGGACCACAUGGACACACAGGGAGAAGACGGCCAUCUGCAAGCCAAACAGAGAGCCCUCAGAAGAAACCAAACCUGCUGACACCUUGCUCUCCGACUUCUGGCCCACAGAACUGUGAGAAAACAAAUUUCUGGUGUUUAAGCCAUCCAGUCUCGGCACUUUGUCAUGGCAGCCUGAGCAGACUCAUAAAAGGAUUUUGAGAUUGGGGGUUAUCCUGGGCCAUCCAGGAGGGCCCAAUGUAAGGUCUCAAUAUAAGUGCCCAAUAUACAGCAUCACAUAGGGGUCCUUAUAAAUGAAAGACAGAGGCAGGAGGGCCGGAGAAAAGCUGUGAUGACAUAAGAACACCAGCCGUCUUCUGUGGACAUUGGCUACGAAGAUGGAAGGGGUCUCAAACCAGGGACUGCAGGCGGCCUCCAGAAGCUGAAAAAAGCAAGGAACAGAUUCUCCCCUAGAGACUCCAGAAGGACACAACCCUGCCUGUACCUGGGCUUUAGCCCUGUGAGAUCCAUGUUGGACUACUCACCUCCAGAACUGUGAGAAAUAAAUUUUUGUUGGUUUAAGCUACUAAAG